rnacentral:rRNA from 1 species
GACGAACGCUGGCGGCGUGCUUAACACAUGCAAGUCGAACGGAAAGGCCCUGCUUUUGUGGGGUGCUCGAGUGGCGAACGGGUGAGUAACACGUGAGUAACCUGCCCUUGACUUUGGGAUAACUUCAGGAAACUGGGGCUAAUACCGGAUAGGAGCUCCUGCUGCAUGGUGGGGGUUGGAAAGUUUCGGCGGUUGGGGAUGGACUCGCGGCUUAUCAGCUUGUUGGUGGGGUAGUGGCUUACCAAGGCUUUGACGGGUAGCCGGCCUGAGAGGGUGACCGGCCACAUUGGGACUGAGAUACGGCCCAGACUCCUACGGGAGGCAGCAGUGGGGAAUAUUGCACAAUGGGCGGAAGCCUGAUGCAGCAACGCCGCGUGCGGGAUGAUGGCCUUCGGGUUGUGAACCGCUUUCGCCUGUGACGAAGCGUGAGUGACGGUAAUGGGUAAAGAAGCACCGGCUAACUACGUG